rnacentral:rRNA from 1 species
UACGAAGGGGGCUAGCGUUGUUCGGAAUCACUGGGCGUAAAGGGCGCGUAGGCGGCUGUUCAAGUCGGGGGUGAAAUCCCGUGGCUCAACCACGGAAUGGCCUUCGAUACUGGACGGCUCGAGACCGGAAGAGGUGAGUGGAACUGCGAGUGUAGAGGUGAAAUUCGUAGAUAUUCGCAAGAACACCAGUGGCGAAGGCGGCUCACUGGUCCGGUUCUGACGCUGAGACGCGAAAGCGUGGGGAGCAG